CGCGGCCUAUCAGCUUGUUGGUGGGGUAAUGGCCUACCAAGGCGACGACGGGUAGCCGGCCUGAGAGGGCGACCGGCCACACUGGGACUGAGACACGGCCCAGACUCCUACGGGAGGCAGCAGUGGGGAAUAUUGCACAAUGGGCGAAAGCCUGACGCAGCGACGCCGCGUGGGGGAUGAAGGCCUUCGGGUUGUAAACCUCUUUCAGCAGGGAAGAAGCGAAAGUGACGGUACCUGCAGAAGAAGCACCGGCUAACUACGUGCCAGCAGCCGCGGUAAUACGUAGGGUGCAAGCGUUGUCCGGAAUUAUUGGGCGUAAAGAGCUCGUAGGCGGUUUGUCGCGUCUGCUGUGAAAACUCGGGGCUUAACCCCGGGCCUGCAGUGGGUACGGGCAGACUAGAGUGCGGUAGGGGAGAAUGGAAUUCCCGGUGUAGCGGUGAAAUGCGCAGAUAUCAGGAGGAACACCGAUGGCGAAGGCAGGUCUCUGGGCCGAUACUGACGCUGAGGAGCGAAAGCGUGGGGAGCGAACAGGAUUAGAUACCCUGGUAGUCCACGCUGUAAACGUUGGGCGCUAGGUGUGGGGGACCUCUCCGGUUCUCUGUGCCGCAGCUAACGCAUUAAGCGCCCCGCCUGGGGAGUACGG
rnacentral:rRNA from 1 species